CUACCAGCACCCCGAGUGGUCGGGCGUUAUUGGGCCUAAGCAUCCGUAGCCGGUUCUACAAGUCUUCCGUUAAAUCCAGCUGCUUAACAGAUGGGCUGCGGAAGGUACUAUGGAGCUAGGAGGCGGGAGAGGCAAGCGGUACUCGAUGGGUAGGGUAAAAUCCGUUGAUCCAUUGAAGACCACCAGUGGCGAAGGCGGCUUGCCAGAACGCGCUCGACGGUGAGGGAUGAAGC
rnacentral:rRNA from 1 species